UUUUCACUACUUGGAAAAUGUUUUAAUUAGGUAAAUCAGUUUUCAUUAUUUUCAAGUACAUUUCUUUCUGGGUCUUUUUUUCAUUAACAUCUUCAUUAUUUUCAGUUUUUUUAUUUGAAUUAUCUUGAGAUUCUACCACUUAUAAAAGUUUUUUCUUAAACUUCUUAAACAUUACUGACAUUGCCUAUAUUUUCACUACUUGUAUGUUGCUCUAAAAUGCAAGUUGUUAAGGGUGUAAAGCUUUUGAGUGCACAUAGUAUUUUGAGUAAUCAUGAGUGUCAUUACCUUGAAGUUAAUGAAAACAGUUCACCUUUUGAAAGAACCUUCUUCUAUUUGUCAAGUGUCGGGUCAUGGCAGGAAUCCGGGAGACAGAAAGAGCAUCAACAAACAAAAGAACAAACACCUACCAUUGUUUUAUUCUAAGAGGUGGAAGUGCAUCAAUAAAAGACAUGGUAUCUAGUAAACAACCCUACCAAUGAAUAAUUAUUAUCAUUAUAAUCACUCAGUUUUAAAUGUAUUUAGAUUUAUUUUUCAAGAAAAAAGUUAUCCAAUUGUAGCAAAUGGCAUCCAAAUACCACUCUACUAGAGAUAUAAUUGGGUAACUUUUUCAAAGUAGAAACAAUCAAAUGACUUUCUGGAAAAAGAUGGAAAGCAAUAAACAGAACCGAAAGUAUGAUAAGAAUAAAUGAAAGUAGGUUGUAAUUAUAUUUACCAACAUGGAUUCAAUGGUAGAAACGGGAGUGGGAAGUCUGAGAUGAUGAACUAAAUUUUUUAAAUAUAAAAUAGUUGUAAAAUUAAUCUUGUUUUUGUAG
rnacentral:lncRNA from 1 species